rnacentral:tRNA from 1 species
GCCUGUAUAUAAAUUUAGAUUGCAAAUCUAAGAUUGAUUGUAAAUUAAUAGGU